rnacentral:lncRNA from 10 species
CCUGCCUCAGCCUCCUGAGCAGCUAGGACUACAGGUGCCCCCCACCUCACCCGGCUAAUUUUUUGUAUCUUUAGUAGAGACGAGGUUUCACCAUGUUAGCUAGGAUGGUCUCAAUCUUCUGACCUCGUGAUCCACCCGCCUCAGCCUCCCAAAGUGCUGGGAUUACAGGGGUGAGCCACCGCACCCUGCCUGUGUUUUCUAUCCAUUACUACAAGAUAACUGCAUGGCAUUCUCCCUUCCUGCUGAAGACUUUUGCUCAAAUGUCACCUUAUCAGUGAGAAGGUGACCAUCCACUUGUAAAUUGAACCCAUACCCGAACAGGCCUGAGGCCAUUUCAUCUUGCCACAGGAAACCUAACAAUGAAUCCAACAGGGAGGAGGAAGAGAUUGGAGUGAGUGACAGAUUGGAUCCUGAUGGCAGUAUGGGGACUAGGGAAUCCAGGGAAAAAAGGAACUGAAGACAAAUACCGUCAGCUUCACCAAUCACAUGUCAUUGACUGAAACAUACUUAAUAAAGCCAGCAUUCCUUAGGGUGGAGAAGAUGUCAGAAUGCUAUAAGAAGAAACAUGGAAGGAUCUUCUUUCACUAGUUAAAUAACAUCAGCAGUGGAUGUUUCGGAGCGGAGUGAGAAUAUGGAGACUUUGAGAUGCUAACAUAGCUGCAGUACAUGAAAAUUUUCAAAUAUAAUCUAAAAUACAAAAUAAGGAAAAUUAAUAUAAAUCAUAUGAUACAAUUUAGUAUGUAGGCACUACUACAAUCAAGACAGUUUUCUAAAAACUGGAGCAUUGUGUUUAUGUUUGAGUUUUAGAUUUGGUCUCUUGAAAACUGGUAUUUUUUAAUUAUCCCAUUUCCCAAAUAUAUUUUUUCAAAUACAGAAAUAACUCAUUGCAUUUAAAUUAUCAGUUGCACAUGUUAUUCUCAUUAUUGUCUGUCCAUGAUAAAUGUUGCUGUUAUCUAUGAAAUAGCCAUCUUAAAAGUUAUCAUUGGGAUUUUAAGUCAAAGAUAUAAUUUAUUUUACUAAGUAAGACUAAACAGUUAUGAUUUUAGCAAAAAUGUAGAGGCAUCAGAUUAAUUCUUAUUCAGAUUAGCAUGUUUGCAUUUUAAAACUAAAAUGCACAAUAGGUUUAAAGCCUAAUAGUUAAUAUUACCUUUUACAGUCACUAUUCAUGAUUCUAUUGAGUCUUGGCCGAGAUGAGUGAUGUAUUAUUUCUAUAUCUAAAAAGGGUUUAGAAAUAACCCCUUUUUGCUUCCUGUGUAGGUAAGGAUGGGUUUACAAACACCCAUGAAACUAAAAUGGGCAUUCGGAGAAGCAGAAAAUAAAUGUCUCUAGGCUUAGGAGUAACAUGAACUUGCAAUUCUACCACUUACAUAUCUGACACAAGACUAACUCUGUAGGAAGCAAACUUAUUACAAAUAUUUCCCCAUUCCACACACCUAACUUGGGUAAACUGUUAUUAGGUAAAUUACUUAAUGGAUAAUUUAUUUUAACUAUGAAUACUUCACAAUGUAUUUUAACAAUGUAUGAGUUAAAUCAACAUAUUACCAAUGUGUGUGUUAUUUAAAACACUAGUAGUGAUAGACCUGCCUAUCAACAACCUAUUAACAACUCAAAAACUCUAAAUGAAUGGGACCCAGCACAGGCAAAUUUAAGUUGAGAGAGAAAGCAAACUAUUCCAAUAGUUAGGAAUGGCUUUCAUUUAAAGGCAAGAAGGC